rnacentral:rRNA from 1 species
CGGGGGACAACAGCCCGAAAGGGCUGCUAAUACCGCAUAAGUCUGCAAGCUCCCUGGAGUUUGCAGGGAAAGAUGGCCUCUAUUUAUAAGCUAUCACCGAAGGAUGAGUCCGCGUUGCAUCAGCUUGUUGGUGGGGUAAUGGCCUACCAAGGCAAAGACGCAUAGCUGGUCUGAGAGGAUGAUCAGCCACACUGGGACUGAGAUACGGCCCAG